CCUCCUCUGACCUCCUGAUGACUCUGAGCCCCCCACAGAGGAACCAUUCCUACACUUACCUCCGCAGCUACGUUAAUGGAUCCUGUGUUGAUGCCGUCAUUGACUUAUAGACCCAUCAGCUGUCACCUGUGAGUCUCUGGUUCACUCCUCUGGAAACCUUUAUGUUGUUUGUUGAUUCCCCUUAGCUGUUGUUGUGUCCAGGCAAAGACCUUGACCUUUCAAAGAAAAAGUUUGACAUUUGGGGAAUUAGCUUAUUAGCUUUCUAGCUGAAAGUUAGGAGAGAAAAAUCAAUUUCACUCUAAGGUCAGUAUGUUGAAUACAGAACCACAGCUGGAUGGAUAUUAGUUUAGCUUAGUUUAAUACGUAUUAGGCUAUUCACAGGCUCUGAAUAGCUGCUGUGCAAUCAGUGGAAACUAUAGGAAAUAACUGUUUCCUGUAGAUACAGAUAGAUGCCUCCCCAUCUCUUUUAGAUAAACCGUAGUGAUGCCAAAAUACAUUCUUGGAUGGGCACUGUAAACCUAUGCCAGUAACAUAAGUUCAGGUUGGAGUCUGUUUAUUGGAAACUGGCUGGUAUCUCUUUCCCUCCGCAACACGUUUAAGUAACUGGCAACACAGCACAGGUCCCACAGACUGGCAGAUACAUGAAUUUAAUGCAGACACUCACCAUAAUGGGAAGCCAAAAGACUCUUGUGUAGGUGUUGGUUCCCUUUUUUUCUCCUGUAUACAUCCCGUGCACGGGAUACAACAAAAGUGGCAUUUGUUUAAAUACAUGUUAGGAGAUAAGAUAUCAGUCUCAUAUUAGUCUCACCGGGGGAAAUCCCAAAACUUACAGCAGCACAGGUACAAUACAAAAGAGAAAUUAAAGGGUAAAGAAACUUAUAUACGUGUACAGCAAUCAUGCUGUUGUAGCUUUUUUUUGUCAUAUAACUGUUUAAAAGUUAAAAAAAACACACACAAGAAGAACUAACCACAAUGCCAGAGAGCAUAUGAGAGGAAAUUUUAUUUUACAUGUAUUUGCUACUGUAGGGCCAGUGUCCAAUCUGUUAACGUGGAGGAGGUGUGCUUAACGACCUAUACUGAAACCAGCCAGCAGGGGGAGCUUUAAGUGUUUUUUCCUUUACUUUUGGUCAACAAACAAAAUAGACAUGUCAAUCUUCCAAUCUAUAUUUCAACUAGACAGCAAAUGUUUUCUCUAACUUACUUGACUGAAUAAAUCACACCACAACUCCUAAAGGAAAAUAUGUUUGCGCAUUUGCAUGUGUCAGCGUUAAAGGGAGCAGUCUUUCUUCCAAACCUCUCCAAACAAACAAAUAUAACCUUUGUUUAUUGGUGCCUUUGAAACAGAAAUGGAGUUUUUUCAAGAGUGUAUAAUCCAUGGACAGCUGUUCAGGGGUUGCUGUUCUGUGAUAACUUUGCACAAAGUUAUACCAGACAGUUCACAGAGUGGAUAUCAGUAAAUUGUUAGACCUUUGUUAGUGAGUUUCAAUAUGGCAGACAAUCUGUUUUUCCGGGGGCUUCUGAAUGAGUUAUGUAAGGACAUUCGGCAAAGAGCUAUUGAUGGGUUUUUCCCUGUGAUAUACGGUGGAUUAACGUUUAUUGUGCCGUGUGUACCCUUGAUAAGUUCAGAGCCAGGUGGCUAUAGAAAUAAGCUUCGCUGCUUCUAAAGCAAACACCAUUAGAUCGAUGGUCUCCAUCUGCCUGACAGAUGCUGUUUGCCAGAAAUUAUUAAUUCUGCAUUCAGAGCUUCACACAUCAAACACAGGAUGACAUGAAAAUGAUAUGAAAAGAGGAGUCAAGGAUUGCGCCACCAUUAGUCGAGCUAAUUCUCACAUCCAAUCUAUUGCUAUGUAUUUAUCUUGCCAUUCAGAAUUGUCUCAUGAUAUUCACCUGGUUGCCUUCUGGUACAUUUCCUUUUUUUUCUGUGUCAGAUAUCAAGAGUCAAACCACUGCCCAGGGGUAUCAUUUAACAUUGACUUUGUUCCCUAAAGUAGUGCAAAUUUAACCGUCUCUUCAACAUCAAUUUAGCAAAUACUAUACAGUUCACAUGCAGAGUUACAAAGGCUUUGCUCGUGCUCACUUUCAUUAGCUAUUUCUGAGAAGUAUCAGGUGUUUCAACUAGGCUCGUUCACUCUAGUACAUAAGAGAACUGAACCCGGGGCUGUACCGACCUAACAUGAUAUUUUACCACCUGCCAGUUUCCAUUCCAGUCCUCUCCAUUUUACUGUUUCUCUCGGCAAUUCAUGAUAGCACCUAGAAAACAAUCAUGGUUCACUGCGUUAUCAUACUUGUGUUUUUUUUUUCUUUUUCUUCUGCAGGUGCGACAUGACAUUCACUCGUCUGUUUCGGCAUCAAUAACUGCUGUACUCUCCCGUCUGUGUCUGACGUGUGAUGGAAGAGGCACAGCUUGUUUUCAUCACUCUCCAGAGUCACCCUGUACACUGAAGCUUCCAGUGUUGUAGUCCAGCAACCAAAGCUCAGGCCAGUUUCGAGUCUUGCGUCCUCAGUAUUCAGGUGUGAGUAGAGUCCAAGUCAGUCCAAGUCAAAUCUGAGAGAUUCUGAGUCGAGUACUCAUUGUUUGGAUUAUUUACCAUAUGAACAGUGAAGACAGCUGUUUCAUUCCAAACUACUGACUCUUCUUCCUGCUGUGAUGGGAUCUCUGAAGGUGUCUAAUAAGCUCAAAAACACCUGCAACCAAACUGAUAUUCUGUCGGCUUGUUUACAGUGACACAUCUCACAUGCUGAAUUGUUUUUGUUCGCUGUUAUUGUAAAAUCCUUGAAACUUCCAGACAUGAUUUACAUUAUAGGAACUGUAGCCGCACAUGACACCAUAAGAAUUACUUUAUUUCCUCCCUGAAGGGAAAUUCAACUGUCUUUAGUCUCACUUGUCAUGUCUCAAAAAGUCAUCUACUAUUUAUGGAGGAAUUGUAAAGUCUGAUAGCUGUGGGUACAAAAGAUCUUCUCAACCGUUCUGUCCUGCAGCAAAGAGAGAGGAGCCGUCCACCACCAUUGGCUCUUUGGUCCAUCAUGUGCCAGAUCUCACUCUAAACUGAAUAAAAAUGUAACACAAACAUAAAAACAGUCUUUACCAAUCAAUAAACCUGAGUCCUCCUUUCUAUCGUCUAAGUGCAGUCAAUGCUUAAGUUUGAGUACAAGUCCAAGUAAUCAGAACUUGGGUCCAAUUUGAGUCACAACUCCUAAAAUUAAGGGUUGGCUACUACAUGUAGUGACACAGCCUGAUGAGAAAUUAGACAGAAGCAUGGUGAGAGAAAGAUGCAGAUGAUCUUUCUUCAUCUGAGGUACUGAAGUAGUUUUUUUUAAAUUUAUGUAUGCAUGGAAAAUCAGCAGUGUGUUCUGUUGUCUUAAAUUCACUGUAGAAAUUCAGAACAUAAUCAGACUAAACAUCUUUAAUACAGGCUGCACAUUACAGGCCAUCCAGCACCCCAAGGGAGCGCAAGAGCGCAAACAAGAGGCUGAUAAAAAUGUAGUUUGACAAUGUUUUGAAGCAGCAGAGAGUCAUCUAAGUUUUUGUCAUCUUUGAUUAACAACCAAUGAUGUAUGGCUUUCUGACAGGACUCAGUCAUAAAUCACGUCACGUUGUGUCAUUUCCUUCUAGUAAAGGAGCUGACAACUUCUUGACCUCCUCCUUUCGUACUCUAUGACUUGUCAUGGAAGGUUUUCCAUAAGUGAUAACAAAAUCUACUCUGCGCAACAAAGUAGCCAACAGCAUGGACCAAAAACUCCAGGCCAGAGCAGAGGUAGAGAAAGGCUAACCUGCUGUCAUGGAGAUGGACGCAUCCUACGUAUUAUUCAAAGCCGCCAGGAGGGUCACACCGAAGUAGGAGGAAGAUAUGACUGUAGAAAAAAAUUACAACCAGAGUUCUGUUACAACUUAAAAUUUUGGCACUCAAUACGCUGAAUACUCAAUACUUAAUAUAUUUUUGGUUAUACAGAAAAACAAAUAAACAAAAUAUUGACUCGUUUUUUUCGUUUUUCGUUUACUAGAUGAAUGGAAUAAUUGAAUGGAUGGAUAAUACAUGGACUGCUAAAGUUGGACUGGUCCAAGAAUAUAGACUUCAUCUACGGAAAGGGACAGAGCCGCCUCUCUUGCCUGAGGAGACUCCGAUCAAUAGACAUCUAUAGUAAGAUGCUGCAGAGGUUUUUUCAGUCUGUGGUGUCUACAGUGUUAUGUUCUACGCUGCAGUCUGCUGGGGAGGAAGCAUCAAACACAAAGAUGCAAGACGUCUGAACAAACUGGUGAAAAAGGCUGGCUCUGUGGUUGGAUUCAAGCUGGACUCAGUGGAGGUUGUGGUGGAGAGAUCUACACUGAGGAAGGUGGAGACUAUGGACCAAAGGGGCAAAGGUGGUGGACGGCUCCUCUCUCUUUGCUGUAGGUCAGAAAGAUUCAGAAGAUCUUUUGUACAUCAGACUGUACAACUCUUCUGUAAAUAGUAGAUGACUUUUAGAGACAUGACAAAUGAGACGACAGACAAUUGAAUUUCCCUUCAUGGAUUAAUAAAGUUCCUCUUAUUCUUAUUCUUAAAAAGGUGGGUCUUGAGCCUGUUCUUAAAAAUUUGAAUGUUUUUUGGAGUAACUAUGGCUGACAUGUGCAUCUCCUGACACAGUGAGAGAAAUAUUUCCAUUUGAAAUAUGUCGGAGUAGAGACAUACGUACAGGGACGUACAAAGAAGCAAAACAAAGUACCAAAAAUUCAAACUUAAUUUCAGCAACCCAGUAAUGUUCUUUAUUAUUUUGCACCACAGUCACUUAUUCCCAGAGACAGAGGAAGAGACUGACAGACUGACUGACAGAUUAUGUGUGACAGGAGAAGAGAAGCCAUCACGUCACCUCAGACGUACCUGCGUUUCAGAACAGCAUGUUUGAAGGUGAGCUUGUCACAUGUAUUUAGCCUCACCUGAAUCCAAGAACACAAAUAACAUGACAACUCUGAUGUGUAUAAUCCACAUUAAACCACAAAUCCUUUAUACUUGUGCUGUGUAUUGCACUUUGUGUUUACUUACGCAGACUGAAAUGUUACAAAAAUAGGAGAGCAGAACCGGGGAAAUCUUCAGCCGUGGAAGCCUUCAUGAUCAAUUCGUCUGUUCCUGAGAAUCCCGUUUCAAAUGCAUCUCUGCGCGCAGGAGGACAAGAAUAGAAAUAGAGUUUUGCUUCAAUGCUCACAAGAUGUCUCUCUCAGCACCGCUGCAGGAGGGGAGAGAAGAGGAGAGGCAGAGACUAAAUCCAGAUUGCAGUGAUUAGACAUUGUUGGAGUUUGUAUAGAAUUGGAGUUCAUGGACCUCCUACUCAUCAGACGAGAGGAUAAAAAACUCUGAGGUCAUUGUAUCAAGGGUUUGUAUUGUCAGUGAGCCGUGACAAGGCAGAUUAUGAGUGUGGCAGGGGUGUACUUGUGUGGUCUAUUCAGAUGUGUUAUGUAAAGCUUUUUUUCUUCUGUUCAGAUAUGUAAGAAAAUAAAGAAAGAAAAAGCUUUUUGUUUGGAUCACAAAAGGAGGUAUACAACCAGUG
rnacentral:lncRNA from 1 species